CCUACGGGUGGCAGCAGUGGGGGAUAUUGCACAAUGGAGGGAACUCUGAUGCAGCGACGCCGCGUGAGGGACGAAGGUUUUCGGAUUGUAAACCUCUGUCUUCGGUGACGAAACGAGACGGUCGCCGAGGAGGAAGCCACGGCUAACUGCGUGCCAGCAGCCGCGGUAAUACGCAGGUGGCAAGGUUUGUCCGGAAUUACGGGGUGUAAAGGGAUCGUAGGCGGGAAAGAAAGUUGAAGGUUUAGGGUUCGGGCUAAACCUGUAAAAGCGUUCAAAACUGUUAUUCUUGAGUGGAGUAGAGGUAAGCGGAAUUCGUAGUGUAGCGGUGAAAUGCGUAAAUAUUAGGAGGAACACCAGUGGCGAAGGCGGCUUACUGGGCUUUAACUGACGCUGAGGCUCGAAAGUGUGGGUAGCAAACAGGAUUAGAUACCCCAGUAGUC
rnacentral:rRNA from 1 species